UGUUUGAAGAAAGCGUAUGACGUCUGAGAAUUCUAGUGGAGAAAAGAUAUCAAGAAAGAGGCGAAAUGGGUAUGUUUCUGUAGUGGACACUUUGAACAAGUGGAAGAAGUUGAACAAUCAAUUGGAGGAUUUGGCAAAAGAUGGAGUAGAAGAAAUUCGUAGAGUUCCAGCCAAGGGCUCUAAGAAGGGUUGCAUGAGAGGGAAAGGAGGUCCUCAGAAUUCAGAUUGUAAUUUCAGAGGUGUUAGACAGAGGACUUGGGGAAAGUGGGUGGCUGAAAUUAGAGAGCCAAUUGCUAGUAAUAAUACCCGUGUGAAGAAGAAAGGCAGUCGUUUAUGGCUUGGCACUUUUGCCACUGCUCAUCAGGCUGCUCUUGCUUAUGAUGAAGCUGCUAAAGCCAUGUAUGGCCCUUUUGCCCGUCUCAAUUUUCCUGAUUCUUCAUCUUCUCCUCUGAAACCAGUAAUAGUAGAGCAUUCUGAUUCGA
rnacentral:misc_RNA from 1 species